UACGGGGGGGGCAAGCGUUGUUCGGAAUUACUGGGCGUAAAGGGCGCGUAGGCGGCCUGCUAAGUCGGACGUGAAAUCCCUCGGCUCAACCGGGGAACUGCGUCCGAUACUGGCGAGGCUUGAAUCCGGGAGAGGGAUGUGGAAUUCCAGGUGUAGCGGUGAAAUGCGUAGAUAUCUGGAGGGACACCAGUGGCGAAGGCGGCAUCCUGGACCGGCAUUGACGCUGAAGCGCGAAAGCUAGGGUAGCAAACGGG
rnacentral:rRNA from 1 species